AAAAAAAUAAAUUAGUAAAGACUAGAGUAGUAGUUGUUAUAUUCAAAAAACUUAAUAAAUUUGGCGGUAUUUUAUUUUAAUUAGAGGAAUUUGUUUUAUAAUUGAUAAUACCCACUUAAUCUUACUUAAUUUAAUAAAAUUUGUAUAUCGUCGUCAUCAGAAUAUCUUAAAAAAGAAAAAAUUUUCUAAAAUUUAAAAUAUAAAUAAUGUCAGAUCAAGGUGCAAUUUAUAUUUAAGUAAAAAUGAAUUACAAUAAAUAUAUUAUUUAAACGGAUAUAAAUUUUAAAAAUUUUAUUGAAGGUGGAUUUAAUAGUAAAAUAAUAAAAAAACAUUAUUUGACUAUAAACUUAAAAUGUGC
rnacentral:rRNA from 1 species